rnacentral:rRNA from 1 species
CAGUAGCCACGGUAAAACGAAGGGGGCUAGCGUUGUUCGGAAUUACUGGGCGUAAAGCGCACGUAGGCGGAUAUUUAAGUCAGGGGUGAAAUCCCGCAGCUCAACUGCGGAACUGCCUUUGAUACUGGGUAUCUUGAGUAUGGAAGAGGUUAGUGGAAUUGCGAGUGUAGAGGUGAAAUUCGUAGAUAUUCGCAGGAACACCAGUGGCGAAGGCGGCUAACUGGUCCAUAACUGACGCUGAGGUGCGAAAGCGUGGGGAGCAAACAGGAUUAGAUACCCGAGUAGUCCCUGUCUCUUAUAC